UACUAGAGUAGCACUCGCAUAUCAAUAAGCGGAGGAAAAGAAACUAACAAGGAUUCCCCUAGUAACGGCGAGUGAAGCGGGAAGAGCUCAAAUUUGAAAUCUUAAAGGGUUUCCCUUUACGAAUUGUAGUUUAAAGAAGUGUUUUCUGUUGAGGUUUUGGUAAAAGUUCUUUGGAAUAGGACAUCAUAGAGGGUGAGAAUCCCGUAUUUGACCUUUACUUUCAACUUUGUGAUACACUUUCAAAGAGUCGGAUUGUUUGGGAAUGCAGUCCAAAAUGGGUGGUAAAUUUCAUCUAAAGCUAAAUAUUGGCGAGAGACCGAUAGCGAACAAGUACCGUGAGGGAAAGAUGAAAAGAACUUUGAAAAGAGAGUUAAACAGUACGUGAAAUUGUCAAAAGGGAAGCGUUUGACACCAGUGUUGUUUUUCUGAAAAUCAAUUAAAGAACUGUUUAUGCUAAGUUGUUUAGACUUUAUCAGCUAACUGUUUAGUUUUGAGCUUUUCUUUAAUGCACUUUUCAGUUAACAAGUCAACAUCAAUUUCUUUUGCUGUAAAAAAGCUUGAGGAAGGUGGCUUGAGAUUCGUCUUAAGUGUUUAUAGCCUCUUGCCUAUGCAGUCGGAGAGAUUGAGGUCUGCAGCGUAGAUCCUUCGGGGCUAAAUGCAUUUGUGCUAAGUUAUAGCAUUUUAUAGACAACUUGUUGACUAUGAUUUGUCUUGUAGCUUACUCGCUUAUGUUAUUUUACCUACGCUUAGGAUGUUGAGUCAUCACACAUCUCU
rnacentral:rRNA from 1 species